AUGGUUUCUUCUGCCAUGACAGUCACUGCCCCUCUCUGCCACAGCGUCAUGCCUUUCCCGGCCACUGCUAGGGACUCCUCGGCACGCUCCCGAGUGGGAAGGCCGGGCCUUGCCGCUGGCUGCUGCUCCGGUCCUAUCGCCGCCGCAGUGACCAACGCGGCCCUGGUGGCCGAUGCUGCCCGCGUCGGUACGAGGAGGUGUGAACUCUUUGAUCUCCAUCGGCAGAUAGUUCCUCUUGUUGAUUCAUGGGGUUGGCAGAAGUCCAUUGUUGAGAGGAGAAAACCGUUGGUAGGCAUAGACACGGACACAGAUGAAGAUCACUCGGACACCUUAAUCACGCUGCAGCAUCCACCAGUUUAUACACUGGGCAACGGCAAUAGCGAGAAGUACCUCAAUUUCAAUAUAGAAGAUUCUCCUAUUGAGAUUCAUCGUAUUGAUCGUGGUGGGGAGGUGACAUAUCAUGGUCCUGGACAGCUCGUUCUGUACCCGAUUCUCAAUUUGCGGUAUCAAAAGAAGGAUCUUAACUGGUACCAAAGAUCACUUGAAACUGUGAUCAUUCGUGCCCUUCAGUCCGCAUUCUCUAUUAAGGCAUCAACAAUAGAAGGCCUCACUGGCGUUUGGGUUGGGGAUCAGAAAGUUGCAGCUAUUGGAAUUAUGUGUGCAAGAUGGAUAGUAUAUCAUGGUCUAGCGCUAAAUGUCACAACUGACCUAACCCCUUUUGAACACAUUGUUCCCUGCGGCAUAAAGGGUCGUGGCGUUGGGAGCAUUAAGCAGAUAUUGCAAAAGGCUUCCAACGGUAGAGAACAUAACGAUUCAGAACUGAUGGAUAUAGCUUAUGAAUCAUUGACCAAAGAGUUUGCCGAGUUUUUCCAACUCUCUCUGGAACGCAGCCCUGAUUUGUAUCUUUAG
rnacentral:rRNA from 1 species